AUUUUUUUCCUGUUUCCAAAGAGACAUUAAGAGGAAUUCUUUGACGAAUUUGCCACGUGAUCUGUUGUCCUCUAAUGUUGCCUUGACAAUGAUAAAUCUCAAUGAUAAUAACCUAGAUAGUUUACCAGAGAAUAUUUUCGCUAACAACUUGAAUUUACAGAGACUGCAUGUGACAGGGAAUAUGUUAACCAACCUUUCUGACAAUGUGUUUUCAAACAACAAAAAUUUGGAGUCGG